UGAGAGAUCCCCCAGUUCCUCCCAACACCCAUUCAUCUUCUCCACUCUGAAACCCUAAAUCCACUAUUGUCACAGACGACAAAGCUCCAACCUUACCCAAAUUAAUACCAAACAACCAUCACAUAACUCCUCUUUCCAAAUCUCAUGCCAGUUUCUCUCGGAUGAGGCCAGAACUCAUCGAAUCUUAAAUCAAAGGUUCGAGUUCUAGGGGUCGAAAUCAAGUUCCUCCAUGCAAGGUCACCCCUUCAAGUUCCCUGGUUAUUCCAAGCAUGGUUUGUCUCGAAGUGAUGUUCUUCGUCUCUUCUUGACAAAGAACAGACAGUUUAUACCAUUUCGAGACUGAAUCAGAAUUACCC
rnacentral:lncRNA from 1 species